GUGCUCACUUCAGCAGCACAUAUGCUAAAAUUGGAACAAUCCAGAGAAGAUCAGCAUGGCCCCUGCACAAUGAUGACAGGCAAAUUCGUGAAGCAUUCCAUAUUUUU
ensembl:snRNA U6 U6 spliceosomal RNA